UACCCCUCGCCACGAGUGGCACCCCACCGUCUCCCCCCGAACCCCGUCUCCCCCUCCACCACGGGGCGAAGCCACCACUGGUCGCCGCCGUCUACGCGUCCUCCCUUGGCCGCCGCCUGCCGGGCCACCCCCUACCGAUACCGUCCCCUCCUGCCGGGCCACCGCCAGCGCGGUAACCUCCUCCUGCCCACCCCCCGCGUCACCUGUUGCCAGGGCUGCCGCCGCGCCACCUCCGCCCCUGGUCGACGCCGCCGCGCCACCUCCACCUCUUUCCGCCGCCGCCGCGCCACCUCGGCCCCUGCCCGCCACCGCCGCCGCGCCACGACGGCCCCUGCUCGCCCCUAUGGAUCGCGCGCGCAGCGUAGAUUCGGCGUCGUCGGUGCGGCGCAGCGGCGGUUCUACGAUCGGGCGGCACGGCGGUCUGGGGCGCGAUCGGGCUACGGAGAAGCGUUAGACCAGCAGGGGGCGGCGGGUUCUGCGAGGUUCCCCCUCUCGAUGGGGCGGCGGCAGGUCAGCCGGUUGGAAACGGGCGCUUCUACGCCUGCCGCCGCUCUUCUUCACCUCUGCCUCCUCCCGGCUCUCCUGCCGCUGAUACCAAGGGGGAACCAGCGGGCACCACCGCUGUGCUCCCCCUGCUCCUUUUUGAGGGGGUUCAAAGAGAGCAAAGAUUGAUGACGUGGGAGCCUCGUGGUUUUUACGAUGUAAAUGCCCGGACGAUGUUUUCGAGGGAAAGGAUGAGGACGUGCGUUCGCCAGGGGAAAGAGGGUGCGGUGGCGAGCGCGAGCCGGCGACGGCGGCGGAGAGGGUAGGGUCUAGGAAGACGAGGCCCGCGGGGUCCAGGGGAAAGAUAAAGAGCAACUAGACGCCGUUGAGGAAAGAGCCGAUGAAGAAGUUCGCUACUGGUGUUGUUCCGUACCGACGUCCGCUGCUUCCUCCCUCGCAGGCCUGCACCAUCGGCGUCCUCCUUCCCUACCCCCUCUCUAUGUUGGGGUCACCAGUAGGUCUAGGCCUUACAUAUAAUCUAGAGGCUCCAACUUGAACGUUUUCUACGGCGACUUACUCACCGUGAACAAACUUGUGACCGGUCUUGGGUCGUACCAGUUCUUUUCGAAGAAACCGGGCAGACUGGUCACGUAGAAAUAGAAGUAGGCAAAAGUAGCUAUAAGAUGAGUUCGCUAAGACCUCAAAGUUUCGUCGGGAUAUUACGUCUAGUAAAAUCUACCUAUAUCUUGCUGUCUACAUUGGUGGGGUUCCUACUAAUCAGCGUCGAGUAGAAGAUAGUACUCAAAGAAUAAACGUCCACUACUAGAACGACGUUGAACGAACGACGGAACCAAAUGUCCAACCGUUGGUUAUUGGCCUCGUGUCGACAGUUGAAUAAAAUAAGUAACCGGUCUGAUGCUUCGUACCUUUCUUGUCGGUCUUCUUUUAUAGGUUGGGUUCGCGGGCAGGAAGCGGCGGCGUCGGUGCUGCAGUGCCGGACGAGGAGCACCACCGGCGCGGCCACGAGACGCAGGCAGCAGCCGGCCGCGCGGGUGACGCAGGCGCGAGGAGGCGGGGCUGCGGCUGAUAGAGUUGGGAGAGAGGUUGGGAUUGGGAGAGGGAGGGAGUCUAGAGUUAUGCGGCGGCGGGGAUAGGGAUGGGGGCGCAUCGGGUUGGGUUAGGCGGCGGCAGGAGAUGGGUCUGGGGAGGGGCGAAGCCGCUCGGGCGGUACUUGGCACACGCCCGCCGUCGCGUCGCCCUCGUCGUGCCCGAAGUGGAGGGGCCCGGCACAGAGGGGAGGAGGAGGUGGAGGAAGCGCCGGAGGGAGGGCCCGUGGCGGGUUGUCGUCAGAGCUGUCCCUGCUGGACCUGGGCCUGGGCCAGCGCCGAUGGUGCCUCCUGGAGCGUUGCCAGCUGGAGAGGCUUCUGGGCCUACGGUGGCGGUGGCGGUUCAGGCCGAGGUCGUUCGGGGCAGUCCGUCGGUCUCCGCCGCCGACGCUGCACCGGGGCAGCAGUUGCAGUUGGGUGUUUGAUGUUGCAGCGGCAGUUGCAGGAGUUGUCGGAGCUGCUCGGCGAGGAGUAGUGGACCCUGCCGUAGGUCGUCACCUUCUUGACGACCGUCCUGCCGUACGACCCGAGGUUGACACCGCAGCCUACGACCGUCCACAACUUCCCGAACCACCGUUAAGAGUGCCUCAUU
rnacentral:rRNA from 1 species